GGAGACGUGCGGCGAAUGGUAAGCCAACGGUUUGCUAAACCGUAACCGCCCUUAAAGUGGUUUGUGGGUUCGAUCCCCACCGUCUCCG
rnacentral:tRNA from 1 species